GAUCCUGGCUCAGGAGUGAACGCUAGCUACAGGCUUAACACAUGCAAGUCGAGGGGCGGCAUGGUCUUAGCUUGCUAAGGCUGAUGGCGACCGGCGCACGGGUGAGUAACACGUAUCCAACCUGCCGUCUACUCUUGGCCAGCCUUCUGAAAGGAAGAUUAAUCCAGGAUGGGAUCAUGAGUUCACGAUGUCCGCAUGAUUAAAGGUAUUUUCCGGUAGACGAUGGGGAUGCG
rnacentral:rRNA from 1 species